UACGUAGGUGGCAAGCGUUGUCCGGAUUUACUGGGCGUAAAGAGCGCGCAGGCGGUCGUUCAAGUCGCGUGUGAAAGCCCCCGGCUCAACUGGGGAGGGUCACGCGAUACUGAUCGACUCGAAGGCAGGAGAGGGUAGUGGAAUUCCCGGUGUAGUGGUGAAAUGCGUAGAUAUCGGGAGGAACACCAGUGGCAAAGGCGACUACCUGGCCUGUUCUUGACGCUGAGGCGCGAAAGCUAGGGGAGCAAACGGG
rnacentral:rRNA from 1 species